UACGAAGGGGGCUAGCGUUGUUCGGAUUUACUGGGCGUAAAGCGCACGUAGGCGGAUUGUUAAGUGAGAGGUGAAAUCCCGGAGCUCAACUCCGGAACUGCCUUUCAUACUGGCAAUCUAGAGUCCGGAAGAGGUGAGUGGAACUCCUAGUGUAGAGGUGGAAUUCGUAGAUAUUAGGAAGAACACCAGUGGCGAAGGCGGCUCACUGGUCCGGUACUGACGCUGAGGUGCGAAAGCGUGGGGAGCAAACGGGG
rnacentral:rRNA from 1 species